UACAGAGGGUGCGAGCGUUAAUCGGAAUUACUGGGCGUAAAGCGCGCGUAGGCGGCUUUGCAAGUCGGGUGUGAAAUCCCCAGGCUUAACCUGGGAACUGCAUUCGAGACUGCAUUGCUAGAGUAUGGGAGAGGGAAGUGGAAUUUCCGGUGUAGCGGUGAAAUGCGUAGAUAUCGAGAGGAACACCUGCGGCGAAGGCGGGUUGCUGGGCUGACACUGACGCUGAGGCGCGAAAGCUAGGGGAGCGAACGGG
rnacentral:rRNA from 1 species